GACGUAGGGGGCCAGCGUUGUUCGGAAUUACUGGGUGUAAAGGGUUCGUAGGCGAUGCGGCAAGUUGGGAGUGAAAUCUCUGGGCUUAACCCAGAGGCUGCUUCCAAAACUGCUGUGCUUGAGUGUGGGAGAGGCGCGUGGAAUUGCAGGUGUAGCGGUGAAAUGCGUAGAUAUCUGCAGGAACACCCGUGGCGAAAGCGGCGCGCUGGACCACUACUGACGCUGAGGAACGAAAGCUAGGGGAGCAAACAGG
rnacentral:rRNA from 1 species